CCUACGGGAGGCAGCAGUGGGGAAUAUUGGACAAUGGGCGAAAGCCUGAUCCAGCAAUGCCGCGUGAGUGAUGAAGGCCUUCGGGUCGUAAAGCUCUUUUACCAGGGAUGAUAAUGACAGUACCUGGAGAAUAAGCUCCGGCUAACUCCGUGCCAGCAGCCGCGGUAAUACGGAGGGAGCUAGCGUUGUUCGGAAUUACUGGGCGUAAAGAGUACGUAGGCGGUUAUUCAAGUCAGAGGUGAAAGCCCGGGGCUCAACCCCGGAACUGCCUUUGAAACUAGAUAACUAGAGUCUUGGAGAGGUUAGUGGAAUUCCGAGUGUAGAGGUGAAAUUCGUAGAUAUUCGGAAGAACACCAGUGGCGAAGGCGACUAACUGGACAAGUACUGACGCUGAGGUACGAAAGCGUGGGGAGCAAACAGGAUUAGAUACCCUGGUAGUCCACGCCGUAAACGAUGAUAACUAGUUGUUCGGUCACUUGGUGACUGAGUGACGCAGCUAACGCAUUAAGUUAUCCGCCUGGGGAGUACGGUCGCAAGAUUAAAACUUAAGGAAUUGAACGG
rnacentral:rRNA from 1 species